GACGAACGCUGGCGGCGUGCUUAACACAUGCAAGUCGAACGGUGACGAUCAAGCUUGCUUGGUCUGAUCAGUGGCGAACGGGUGAGUAACACGUGAGUAACCUGCCCCAGACUCUGGGAUAACCCCGGGAAACCGGAGCUAAUACCGGAUAUGACAUGCCCCUGCAUGGGGAGUGUGUGGAAAGUUUUUUCGGUCUGGGAUGGACUCGCGGCCUAUCAGCUUGUUGGUGAGGUAAUGGCUCACCAAGGCGACGACGGGUAGCCGGCCUGAGAGGGCGACCGGCCACACUGGGACUGAGACACGGCCCAGACUCCUACGGGAGGCAGCAGUGGGGAAUAUUGCACAAUGGGCGAAAGCCUGAUGCAGCGACGCCGCGUGAGGGAUGACGGCCUUCGGGUUGUAAACCUCUUUCAGCAGGGAAGAAGCGCAAGUGACGGUACCUGCAGAAGAAGCACCGGCUAACUACGUGCCAGCAGCCGCCGUAACAC
rnacentral:rRNA from 1 species